GGUGCGAUAGUUCAGAAGGUUAGAAUAUCGGCCUGUCACGCCGAAGGUCACGGGUUCGAAUCCCGUUCGCACCG
rnacentral:tRNA from 1 species